GAGAAACUAGCCUCAUUCUCAUAAACAGAAGCUGGAGUGGGAGGUGACAGUGGUGGCAGUGAAAUUGGUGGCCUGGACCUGCCAUAGUCCCAGCUGAGCCCCAGUCAAUGAGAAGACCACACUGAUGGAUGAGCCUAGAGGUUACAGCCUGCUUUUCAAGGUGAUAAUGAACUCACAGACUUCAGUACCACCUUCUGCUGGACAGUGUCAGGAUAUUAAUUAUUCCCUCCCAUAGCCCUGAAUGAAUACAAAGCCCUAAAUUGGUAAGGAAGUCUAUUGGACUGGUAGGAAAUAUUUCUCAUUGCCUGGGAAAGGAAGAAUUGGUUAGAUGGUGUGAAAUUCAACCGUGGGACUCAUAUCUCUGCCCACAGAUGCUGCAAAAUGGGGACCUAGACUUCUUGGUUUGUUCUCACACUACAGAAGUGCAGAAAUUUCAUGUGAGUCUUUUAAAUUAUCUUCCAUCUGUUUCUUAGAAUAUCGAGGGUUAGAGAAAGGUCUAAAGCUUUAUCUUAGCAAGUGCCGUAUGAUUAAUAUAUCAGUCCUGGCUUCAUCUCUCACUGACACAGUUAUUAGGUUUCAAAUAAUUAUUUUGUUUCUAAAUUUUAAACUUGAAGGGAAAGGUUAUUUGCUUUUGCUAUUAGUUUUUCUUUUUAUUGUGAAAAUUUCAACAUAUGGAAAAGUUGAAAGCAUAAUACAAAUACCUAUAUACUUUUCACAGUGGUAUAUAUGUUUGUACCAACAUGCAUAUAUGCGUAUGUUGGUGUGUAUUUUUUUUUUUUUUGCUAGAUCAUUCUUAGAUUAAGUUACAGACACAAGGCUAUUUCACACUUAAAUGUGACAGCAAACAUUUCCUGAGAAUAAGGAUCUUCUGCAUUACCACCGUACAACUGUUAGUCCUGAAAAUGUUUAUGCCCAGGCUACAACCUACAUCACGAAAUCAAAAUCUUUGUAAAGAAACCCUAGACAUAAGUAUGUUUUAAAGCUCCCAAGUGAUUACAAUGUACAACAGUAGAGAACCACUGUUUACAGAUCUAGUAAAUCCAAGUUAAACAUUUUCAAGAAAGAAAACAUUGUUUUUGCUUUUUAAUAUGCAUAAGAAUGUGGUAAUCUUUAGCAGGUCUACAUUACAGAUUUUAAAUCAAAAUGUCACAAUAAUUUACAUUUCCUUAUGUUUUCUGUACAUGUUUAAUAUGAUUUUUAAAAAUAUCUCUUUCAUAUAAAUAUAUUUGAUCUUCCUUUCAAUUUCUUCUAUAUGAUCGUUUAAAGUGCAUAAACUAUGUAUCGUUAUGGGAAUCUCAAAUACAUUUAUCUUUAAAGUUAAAUAACUUUAAACAAAAAUAUUUAUACAUGUGUAAUUUAAUAAAUGUUUAAUAAAUCAGAUAUGACUCUUAUGUAAAACAUAAAGCUUCUUCAUAAUCUAUCAUGUCAUCAAAUUUCACAUUUACAAGAAUAAAAGUUCCAGCAAGCAAAAGUCAAAAUCUAAAUGGAAUACAUGUUAAUAUUUUAAGAAUGUUCUUUCAUGUGUUAAAACUCUUGAUGUUUCUUAUAACAAAACAUUAACCCUAAGUAAACAAAUAUAA